UAGCCGUAAACGAUACUCGCUAGGUGUCGGCCACGGUGCGACCGUUGUCGGUGCCGUAGGGAAGCCGUGAAGCGAGCCACCUGGGAAGUACGGCCGCAAGGCUGAGACUUAAAGGAAUUGGCGGGGGAGCACAACAACGGGUGGAGCUUGCGGUUUAAUUGGAUUCAACGCCGGAAAUCUUACCGGGACCGACAGCAACAUGAAGGCCAAGCUGAAGACUUUGCCGGAUUAGCUGAGAGGAGGUGCAUGGCUAGUCGUGU
rnacentral:rRNA from 1 species